rnacentral:rRNA from 1 species
AACGAACGCUGGCGGCAGGCUUAACACAUGCAAGUCGAACGCACCUUUCGGGGUGAGUGGCAGACGGGUGAGUAACGCGUGGGAAUCUACCCUUCUCUACGGGAUAGCUCCGGGAAACUGGAAUUAGUACCGUAUACGUCCUGAGGGAGAAAGAUUUAUCGGGGAAGGAUGAGCCCGCGUUGGAUUAGCUAGUUGGUGGGGUAAAGGCCUACCAAGGCGACGAUCCAUAGCUGGUCUAAGAGGAUGAUCAGCCACAUUGGGACUGAGACACGGCCCAAACUCCUACGGGAGGCAGCAGUGGGGAAUAUUGGACAAUGGGCGCAAGCCUGAUCCAGCCAUGCCGCGUGAGUGAUGAAGGCCCUAGGGUUGUAAAGCUCUUUCAGUGGGGACGAUAAUGACGGUACCCACAGAAGAAGCCCCGGCUAACUUCGUG